AUGGGUGAGUAACGCGUAGGUAAUCUGCCAUUAGGACUGGGAUAACCCACCGAAAGGUGAGCUAAUACCGGAUGAUGCAGCGGGGCCGCAUGGCCACAGUUGUUAAAUCCUUUGGGAGCCUAAUGAUGAACCUGCGUGCCAUUAGCUAGUUGGUAGGGUCAAAGCCUACCAAGGCAAUGAUGGCUAGGGGGUCUGAGAGGAUGAUCCCCCACACUGGGACUGAGACACGGCCCAGACUCCUACGGGAGGCAGCAGUGAGGAAUCUUGCGCAAUGGAGGAAACUCUGACGCAGCCACGCCGCGUGCUGGAAGACGGCCCUAUGGGUUGUAAACAGCUUUUACUAGGGAAGAACCUGGACCUUUCGAGGACCACUGACGGUACCUAGUGAAUAAGCACCGGCUAACUCCGUGCCAGCAGCCGCGGUAAUACGGAGGGUGCAAGCGUUGUCCGGAAUCAUUGGGUGUAAAGGGUGUGCAGGCGGAAGUCUAAGUCGGAGGUGAAAUCUUGCCGCUUAACGGUAAAAGUGCCUUCGA
rnacentral:rRNA from 1 species